GCAGUAGGGAAUAUUGGACAAUGGGCUAAAGCCUGAUCCAGCAAUGCCGCGUGUGUGAAGAAGGCCUGAGGGUUGUAAAGCACUUUCAGUUGGGAAGAAAAGCUUUGGGUUAAUACCCUAAAGUCUUGACGUUACCAACAGAAGAAGCACCGGCUAACUCUGUGCCAGCAGCCGCGGUAAUACAGAGGGUGCGAGCGUUAAUCGGAAUUACUGGGCGUAAAGCGUGCGUAGGCUGUUAAGUCAGUCGGAUGUGAAAGCCCAAGGCUUAACCUUGGAACUGCAUUCGAUACUGCUUAGCUAGAGUACAGUAGAGGGAAGCGGAAUUCCUAGUGUAGCGGUGAAAUGCGUAGAUAUUAGGAAGAACACCAGUGGCGAAGGCGGCUUCCUGGACUGAUACUGACGCUGAGGUACGAAAGCGUGGGGAGCAAACAGGAUUAGAUACCCUGGUAGUCCACGCCCUAAACGAUGAGAACUAGAUGUUGGGGGAAAUUAAUCCCUUAGUAUCGCAGCUAACGCGAUAAGUUCUCCGCCUGGGGAGUACGACCGCAAGGUUAAAACUCAAAUGAAUUGACGGGGGCCCGCACAAGCGGUGGAGCAUGUGGUUUAAUUCGAUGCAACGCGAAGAACCUUACCUGGCCUUGACAUCCUCGGAACCUCGCAGAGAUGUGAGGGUGCCU
rnacentral:rRNA from 1 species